CAAUAGCCAUUUGGAUGGAGAGGAGGGCAUUCCAGGCCAAAGAGGCUGCUCAACACUUCAUCCUAGACUUGAGACCCAUCCUUUUGUAGUGUGGAUACAGGCAAAUCAAUUCUCAGAUUUACCCCACCACUCAGCCAUGGAGCAGUGGAUCACAUUGCCCCGACAAAGAAGGGCAGCUGAGAGGAGAGGUCAAGUGCCCAAAGACUUGACUAGAUCAAGACCAACUACCCGCUGGCCGUUCCACUGGACGCAGACUGCUCGGAGUCACGGCCCCGGGGACCUUCACGGUGCAGCAUGGAUCUCCUUCGCCUCUGACACUUUCCUCAUCUCUGGUGUCUCCCAUGCCUCAUUAUACCUAAAACAGAACUCUUUAUCUUUUCACCCAAACCUUAUAC